rnacentral:piRNA from 1 species
UGAGAAUCAGGAACCCCAGGGAC